GCGGGUGCGGAAUCCUGCGCCCGGAGGAAGCGGGUCCUGCGACGGCGCUUCCACCGCCAGUGUGAUCACAGCUGCGGCUUUACUGUGCUCGCUGUCGAGAGGGGAUCGACGGACUGGAGGCCGCGGGCUCCCGGCGCGCGCCUGGGACCGAGUCGUCAGCGUCUCCGGAUGUAGAAGGGCUCGAUUCUACCCAUGACUUUUGGGAUACCAAGAGUAAGAAGUGCAGUUCAGGAAUGCUGAAAUCAACUAGCAGGGGACGAUCGUGAUUGCUUUAAGUCAGAGGAAUCUCAUUCACAUGUCCCUAAUACUCUCCCAGCAUUCUUUUAAGCCUGGACAUGGCCAUGUUACCCAAUAUUGGCUAGAGAGAUGGAGAAACCUGCUGGCGAGGCUUCUGGGUUUACUGCUUAAGCAGCUGGGCAUGCCUUUCCCCUUUUAUUCUCGAGAAGCGGGGCUGAGAAUGUAAUUCCUGAAACUGAGUCAGCCACCUUGCAACUAUGGAGUGACAAGCAUGAGGACAGAAAGCACGCAGAGGAGGCACCCUGGAGAAACAGAGCCAGUUCCUGAUGAAACUGUUGAGCCACUGCACCAGGUCUGGGACAUCUACUUGCAGACUUGCUGCUACGAGCAUAUGGUUGUGCUCAAGCUACUGCUUGGUUCCCUGUUCACUGCCUGCUGACUGAUCCAUUCCUCCAGGACAGGAGAGCUGAGCAGCCUGGCCUCAGAGCUCGCUGGAAGUAGAUGGCAUGAAGAAACAACUGCAGUCAUAUCAGGUAUCUGAGAAGCAUGUCCUGUCUAAGAAAAGUAAAAGAAAUUUGAAUAUGG